rnacentral:lncRNA from 1 species
ACCUGAAAGCUUUAUCCUCCACCAUGGAUCAGAGAGCCUCACAAACAUUCUCCACUGAGACUGGCCUGAUUAGCUCCCUGUUCACUCACUCGAUGACCCAAUCGAUUAGGGGUAGGAAAAUGGAGAGGGUCUGACUCCCCAAAUUUAUCGUUCAUCAAGAUCUGAAGAAGGUGAUAAUCUCCUAUCUGAGCCCCCCUCGUCAUCCAACCACUAGCUACUGCUAUCCCU